UUAGCGGCGGACGGGUGAGUAACACGUGGAUAACCUACCUAUAAGACUGGGAUAACUUCGGGAACCGGAGCUAAUACCGGAUAAUAUAUUGAACCGCAUGGUUCAAUAGUGAAAGACGGUUUUUGCUGUCACUUAUAGAUGGAUCCGCGCUGCAUUUUAGCUAAGGUUUUGGGUUAAGGUAACGGUUACCAAGGCAACGAUGCGUAGCCGACCUGAGAGGGUGAUCGGCACACUGGAACUGAGACACGGUCCAGACUCCUACGGGAGGCAGCACGUAGGGAAUCUUCCGCAAUGGGCGAAAGCCUGACGGAGCAACGCCGCGUGAGUGAUGAAGGUCUUCGGAUCGUAAAACUCUCGUUAUUAGGGAAGAACNACAUGUGUAAGUACUAUGCACGUCUUGACGGUACCUCAAUCAGAAAGCCACGGGUAAAUACGUGCCAGAAGCGCGGUAAUACGUACGUGGAAGCGUUAUCCGGAAUUAUUGGGCGUAAAGCGCGCGUAAGCGGUUUUUUAAGUCUCGAUGUGAAAGGCCCACGGGUCAACCGUGGAGGGUCAUUGGAAACUGAAAAACUUUGCAGUGCAAAAAGGAAAGUGGGAAUU
rnacentral:rRNA from 1 species